GAGGAAUAAGCAUCGGCUAACUCCGUGCCAGCAGCCGCGGUAAUACGGGGGAUGCAAGCGUUAUCCGGAAUCAUUGGGCGUAAAGCGCCUGUAGGUUGUUUAAUAAGUCUGUUGUUAAAGACUAGGGCUCAACCCUAGAAAAGCAAUGGAAACUACUAGACUAGAGUAUGGCAGGGGUAGAGGGAAUUUCUAGUGUAGCGGUGAAAUGCGUAGAUAUUAGAAAGAACACCGGUGGCGAAGGCGCUCUACUGGACCAUUACUGACACUCAGAGGCGAAAGCUAGGGUAGCAAAAGGGAUUAGAUACCCCUGUAGUCCUAGCCGUAAACGAUGGAUACUAGAUGUUGUGCGUAAAGUACAGUAUCCUAGCUAACGCGUUAAGUAUCCCGCCUGGGGAGUACGCUCGCAAGGGUGAAACUCAAAGGAAUUGACGGGGGCCCGCACAAGCGGUGGAGCAUGUGGUUUAAUUCGAUGCAACGCGAAGAACCUUACCAGGGCUUGACAUACUACAAAUUCUUUAGAGAUAGAGAAGUGCCUUCGGGAAUGUAGAUACAGGUGGUGCAUGGCUGUCGUCAGCUCGUGUCGUGAGAUGUUGGGUUAAGUCCCGCAACGAGCGCAACCCUUGUUUUUAGUUACUAAUUCGUUAGGUUUUCUAGAAAGACUGCCGGUGACAAACCGGAGGAAGGUGAGGAUGACGUCAAGUCAGCAUGCCCCUUAUGUCCUGGGCUACACACGUGCUACAAUGGUUAAGACAAAGAGUCGCGAGCUCGCGAGAGUCAGCUAAUCUCAUAAACUUAGCCUAAGUUCAGAUUGUAGGCUGCAACUCGCCUACAUGAAG
rnacentral:rRNA from 1 species